AACGAACGCUGGCGGCAGGCUUAACACAUGCCAGUCGAACGCCCCGCAAGGGGAGUGGCAGACGGGUGAGUACCGCGUGGGAAUCUACCCAUCCCUACGGAAUAACGCAUGGAAACGUGUGCUAAUACCGUAUACGCCCUACGGGGGAAAGAUUUAUCGGGGAUGGAUGAGCCCGCGUUGGAUUAGCUAGUUGGUGGGGUAAAGGCCUACCAAGGCGACGAUCCAUAGCUGGUCUGAGAGGAUGAUCAGCCACAUUGGGACUGAGACACGGCCCAAACUCCUACGGGAGGCAGCAGUGGGGAAUAUUGGACAAUGGGCGCAAGCCUGAUCCAGCCAUGCCGCGUGAGUGAUGAAGGCCUUAGGGUUGUAAAGCUCUUUCACCGGAGAAGAUAAUGACGGUAUCCGGAGAAGAAGCCCCGGCUAACUUCGUG
rnacentral:rRNA from 1 species